UUUCCGUAGGUGAACCUGCGGAAGGAUCAUUAAAGAGUUAUGUAUCUUCGGGUACUAUCUCCAACCAAUUGUGAACUUAUCUUGUUGCCUCGACAUACGAUGAGUACCCGUAAGGUGUACCCAUCCUUCGGUUGUUCGCACCUGAAGAGUGAUGUCGAAGGAUUUUCAAACUAUACUUAAUCAAUUUAUCUGAGUUAAAACAAAUAAAAACAAAACUUUCAACAACGGAUCUCUUGGUUCUGGCAUCGAUGAAGAACGCAGC
rnacentral:misc_RNA from 1 species